GCGGGGAUGCCGGAGUGGCCAAACGGGCACGGUUCAGGGCCGUGUAGCUCAGUGCUUACGUGGGUUCGAAUCCUACUCCCCGCA
rnacentral:tRNA from 1 species